rnacentral:rRNA from 1 species
AGAGCGAACGCUGGCGGCAGGCCUAACACAUGCAAGUCGAGCGCCCGUAGCAAUACGGGAGCGGCAGACGGGAUAGUAACACGUGGGAACGCGCCCUUCGGUUCGGAAUAACUCAGGGAAACUUGAGCUAAUACCGAAUACGCCCUUACGGGGAAAGAUUUAUUGCCGAAGGAACGGCCCGCGUCCGAUUAGCUAGUUGGUGAGGUAAUGGCUCACCAAGGCUACGAUCGGUAGCUGGUCUGAGAGGAUGACCAGCAUCACUGGGACUGAGACACGGCCCAGACUCCUACGGGAGGCAGCAGUGGGGGAAUAUUGGACAAUGGGCGCAAGCCUGAUCCAGCCAUGCCGCGUGGAUGAUGAAGGCCUUAGGGUUGUAAAGUCCUUUUAACGGGGAGAUAAUGACGGUACCCGUAGAAUAAGCCCCGGCUAACUUCGUGCCAGCAGCCGC